GCUCUACAACCCUUUGUGAACAUACCUAUAACUGUUGCUUCGGCGGGCAGGGUCUCCGUGACCCUCCCGGCCUCCCGCCCCCGGGCGGGUCGGCGCCCGCCGGAGGAUAACCAAACUCUGAUUUAACGACGUUUCUUCUGAGUGGUACAAGCAAAUAAUCAAAACUUUUAACAACGGAUCUCUUGGUUCUGGCAUCGAUGAAGAACGCAGCGAAAUGCGAUAAGUAAUGUGAAUUGCAGAAUUCAGUGAAUCAUCGAAUCUUUGAACGCACAUUGCGCCCGCCAGCAUUCUGGCGGGCAUGCCUGUUCGAGCGUCAUUUCAACCCUCAAGCUCUGCUUGGUGUUGGGGCCCUACAGCUGAUGUAGGCCCUCAAAGGUAGUGGCGGACCCUCCCGGAGCCUCCUUUGCGUAGUAACUUUACGUCUCGCACUGGGAUCCGGAGGGACUCUUGCCGUAAAACCCCCAAUUUUCCAAAGGUUGACCUCGGAUCAGGUAGGAAUACCCGCUGAACUUAAGCAUAUCAAUAAGCGGAGGAA
rnacentral:rRNA from 1 species